rnacentral:rRNA from 1 species
UACGAAGGGGGCUAGCGUUGCUCGGAAUCACUGGGCGCAAAGCGCACGUAGGCGGCUUCUUAAGUCAGGGGUGAAAUCCUGGAGCUCAACUCCAGAACUGCCUUUGAUACUGAGGAGCUUGAGUCCGGGAGAGGUGAGUGGAACUCCGAGUGUAGAGGUGAAAUUCGUAGAUAUUCGGAAGAACACCAGUGGCGAAGGCGGCUCACUGGCCCGGUACUGACGCUGAGGUGCGAAAGCGUGGGGAGCAAACAGG